rnacentral:rRNA from 1 species
UACGUAGGGUGCGAGCGUUUAAUCGGAAUUACUGGGCGUAAAGCGUGCGCAGGCGGUUUUGUAAGCCAGAUGUGAAAUCCCCGGGCUUAACCUGGGAAUGGCAUUUGGGACUGCAAGGCUUGAGUGCGGCAGAGGAGACUGGAAUUCCUGGUGUAGCAGUGAAAUGCGUAGAUAUCAGGAGGAACACCGAUGGCGAAGGCAGGUCUCUGGGCUGACACUGACGCUCAUGCACGAAAGCGUGGGGGAGCAAACAGG